UUAGAUUUUAUUUAUUAAUUUUGUUUAUUUGUGUUUAAAAUAUUAAAAAUAAUUGUAAAAUAAAAAGUUUUAGUAUUGUUUAAAGAAAAAAUAAAUUUAAUAAUAGUUUAAUAGUAUUGUAAAAGAAAAUUGAAAUAUUUUGAAAAAUUUUUAUAAAAAAAGAAAAUUUAAUUUAUUGUACCUU
rnacentral:rRNA from 1 species